GACCGCGUAGCUCAGUUAGCAGAGCUUUGGGCUAGUAUUCCAAAGGUUGUGGGUUCGAUUCCCACCGUGGUCA
rnacentral:tRNA from 1 species